UGUCCAAUGCGGGAAUCGAACCCGGGUCCUAGUGGUCGGAAACCAAACGGUUUAACCAGCCUUCCACCUAUGUAUAGAU
rnacentral:tRNA from 1 species